GCGCGCGAAGCAAACGAGGAAUUGCACCGGACUUUUAAUUCGGAUACGGUCGGUUCGAAUCCGACCGCGCGCACCA
rnacentral:tRNA from 1 species